AACAACGCAAAUCAGCCAUGAGUAUACGUAUGUCCCCUCACUCGACCCUCCCCUCACACUCCUCUAGGUUAAUAAAGACUGUAUUUUAAGGGAUGUGCAUCCCCUCUCAAAUUCACAAAGAAGGUGAGAAAAAGAACAGACAGACAAGAAAAAGAAAUAUUGGAGAAGUGUAGAAGGUGUGUGACCAAUCACCAGAAGAAGUGAAAUCUGAGGAGUCAUUAAAAUUAUGUAUAUCUACAUGUUGAAACAGACACAGAGCUGGAAGAUGGGAAGCGGAUCAGAAAUGCCCUAGGUUGGUUGCAGAUCUCUCGAGAGAGUCUGUGGUUUUCCCAGGAUCCACUUUCUUAAGGAAAGUGACUUUCUGCUGAUUUGUACCUAUCAACCAUUACCCAGCUCUUACUCCAGGACUCCGAACACUUUUUGUGGAACAGACUUUGCUGUGUCCGGUGCCCUUCUCUUGUCCACCUUGGCGUCUUUACACACUCCACUCCUCUACCUACAGGGCUCCCUUUCCGUCUUUGCCUUCAGAUUUCAGCACAAAUACCUCUCUUCUGGGAGCCUUUUCUGACCAUCUGAUCACUGAUCACCUCCAUGCUGGGGAGUUGGUUUUAUUAUUGUUCUCCCAGGACCAGGUGCUUUUCCUUCAAAGCACUUAUUCACGUUUCUAAAUGUAUAUCUAUUUCUGGUGAUCAGAUGAAUACUUACCUUCCCAUAGAUGGUAAGCUCCAGAAGAGCAGGG
rnacentral:lncRNA from 1 species